AUCCAGCUGACGAGUCCCGAAUAGGACGAAACCCGUGUCAAACUGAAU
rnacentral:hammerhead_ribozyme from 1 species